UCGUUUUCUCUCAUCCCUUACCAAGCCUCUCACUACUUGGGCCUGCCUGGAUACCACGCCUCCGGACCAUGCCAUCGAGCUCUGGCGAACACUGCUGUUGUUCAUCCAGGAGCCGACGACACCACCGGUCGGUGAUCGGCUUCGCGACUGCCACAAGAGUCACGCGGCCCCCACUUAGCUGCCUCCAGGACGCUCAUUAAUAAAACAAAGGCAGCCUCAC
rnacentral:lncRNA from 1 species